rnacentral:rRNA from 1 species
UACGUAGGGACCAAGCGUUAUCCGGAUUUAUUGGGUGUAAAGCGUGUGUAGGCGGUUUAAUAAGUCCAAGGUUUAAGCCUGGAGCUCAACUCCAGUUCGCCUUGGAAACUGUUUUACUUGAGUUUGGUAGAGGCAAGUGGAAUUUCUAGUGUAGCGGUAAAAUGCGUAGAUAUUAGAAGGAACACCAGUGGCGAAGGCGACUUGCUGGGCCAAUACUGACGCUGAGACACGAAAGCGUGGGGAGCAAAUA